UACGGAGGGUGCAAGCGUUAUCCGGAUUCACUGGGUUUAAAGGGAGCGCAGGCGGACUUGUAAGUCAGUGGUGAAAUACCUGAGCUUAACUCGGGAACUGCCAUUGAUACUAUAGGUCUUGAAUAUUGUUGAGGUUUGCGGAAUGGGUCAUGUAGCGGUGAAAUGCAUAGAUAUGACCCGGAACACCGGUGGCGAAGGCGGCGACCUGGUCCGUGACUGACGCUGAGGCGCGAAAGCGUGGGGAGCAAACAGG
rnacentral:rRNA from 1 species